GACGAACGCUGGCGGCGUGCUUAACACAUGCAAGUCGAGCGGUAAGGCCCUUCGGGUACGACGAGCGGCGAACGGGUGAGUAACACGUGGGUGACCUGCCUCUAGCUCUGGGAUAAGCCUGGGAAACUGGGUCUAAUACCGGAUAUGACUCCACGGCGCAUGUUGUGGGGUGGAAAGCCUUGUGUGGCUAGAGAUGGGCCCGCGGCCUAUCAGCUUGUUGGUGGGGUGAUGGCCUACCAAGGCGACGACGGGUAGCCGGCCUGAGAGGCGACCGGCCACACUGGGACUGAGACACGGCCCAGACUCCUACGGGAGGCAGCAGUGGGGAAUCUUGCGCAAUGGGCGAAAGCCUGACGCAGCGACGCCGCGU
rnacentral:rRNA from 1 species